UUACUGUAGAAGCAUACGUUGAAAUACUUUUUUUGAUACAUAGCUACGAAACAGAGGCUGUAUCAAAGUUUUCAUGCUAUAGUGCUGCUAAAAACUAUGGAAAUAUGGAUUGCUGAGGAUACUAAAUUUAGAAGAGUGCAAUUCUCAAACCGUAUUAAAGAUGCUUUGUCAAGAAAUAAAGUAGUAAGGGAAAGAGUGUUUCCAGUUUGCUUUCCUUCAAAAAGUUCUUAUACUGGUCAUUUUACUAGAGAUUUUGUUAUUUUCACUGGAUUUUAUUGCUAUGUGUUAUUGCUGUAAUGUUACUGUUGUGAUGUUUUGUGUUGAUAGACAGCUUGGCUUACCUUUCCG